AGCACUUAAGCCCUGAGAACUGAAUUCCAUAGAUGGUGUUCAUAAAGAGUUCAUCUAUGGGCUCAGUUCUUCUGGCAUUGUGU
ensembl:miRNA mir146a microRNA 146a